ACAGCAAUAGUUAUUUUCCUCCUCAGGAGCAGAUUGAGAGUCUUUCUAAAUUCCUCUGGCAAUGUGAACAGGCAGGAAGGGCCUAGGACACUGGGGCCUGGCAUGCUCUUCCCUGAGGAUGCAGCCUUGUACACGGGAGAGCAAAGUUCUGCAAACUUAGAACCAUACACUCCUCUAUGACAACACAGAGAGUUUGUAACAAAAUAGUCAGCCUUUCAACUUGCAAAAAGAACUGUGUCAAGUUAAAAGGAUGUCAUGGUAGUGCCUUCAGGAAAGUUGGAUGAGAGAAUGCUCAUAGGAAACACCAAAUCACCAAACAAAGUAUGGGAGGGAGUUGAGCAGACCUGUCUCUUUCUCUUCCCUAUUUAUUACUUCUAAAAUUAAAAUUCUGUAGUCAUAGAGUGGCUUAUUCCUUGGAACCAGGAUCUUAGGAUCUUAUCUGGUUACAUAUUUUGUGAGCUCAGCAAGGUUACUAAAUCUUUCUGAGUCUUGAUGCCUCAUGUGUAAAAGAUAAUGAUCAUUCUUGGUUGUUUCUUUGUGUGUAUGGAUUAGGAAUAAUUUCUUCAAUGGAUUUAUCAAAGCUCUUGGUACCAAGUAGGUGUUUAGUAAAAGCAGCUAUUUAUUAAGUUAAUGAUGAAGAUGGUACAAUUAGCAAAGGCAUUAGCUGUAGAAUCACUAAGUAGAGAACUAGAGCAGAGAUGCUUGAUGGAUCACAAAUUGAACACUAGUGACAAUAUAAUCAUAUUACUUUACAGUUAAAAUAAUUAGAGGAUGCAUUAAAAGCCCCAUAAAAGAAAAAUGAAAGUGAAUCAGAAUGAAGAAGGAAAACUAAUUGGAAGGAGUUAUCAACUCUAAGUGUCUGAAAAGGUCUUGGAGAGCAGCUUUGUUAGAAAGCGAUCCCAGAGAUUGAUUGAUGCAUUGGUUACAAAGGUGCAUAUAUUUGAAAAAACAUACCAUAUUGCAUAUUUUAUGUGUUUUUUUACCAUAUGAAAAUCAGCCCUUAAAAGAAAAAUAAUGAAUAACAGUACACAUCAAUAGCAUGGUUACAAUUAAAAAAAAAGUGUUGGUAAGAAUGGAGAAUAAUUGGAAUCUUAGUAAAUGACUAGUGAGAUUAUUAAUGGCAUGAGUGCUUGAGAAACUAGAUUUUAGCAGUAUCUACUAAAGCUGAACAUAUGCACACCCUAUGACCUAGCAAUUCCAAUCUUACAUGUAUACCCAACAGUAUGGUGUAUGUAAUUCCCCAAAAGACAUGCGCAAGAAUGUUCAUAGCAGUGUUUAUCAUAAAUAGCCAAAAUCAAGAUAGUCUACAUGUUCAUCAACAGCAAAAUGGAUAGAUAAAAUGUGGCAUAUAUAGAUUCCAUUGAAUCUAUAUAGCUAUGAGAAUGAACAGACUACCCACAUGCAACACCUUGGAUGAAUAUAAAAACAAUGUUAAGCAAAAGAGCAAAAUACAAAAGAGUACAUAAUGUGUGGCUCAUUUAUACAAAAUUUAAAACCAGGUAAAAUUCAUCUAUGGCAUUGGAAAUCAACAAAGUGGUUACCCUUAGAUGGAAUUUGCAGGGAUUGAUAUGAGAAAGGAGGAGGAGUCAAAGGUGUAACAAUGUUUUCUUUCUUGAUUUGGGUGUUGGUUGCAUAGGUGGGUUUACAUUGUGAAACUUCAGUGAGCUGUAACCUUUAUGGCUAUGUUUGACUUCAGAAGAAAGGUUACACAGAAUUUUAAAAACCUCACAACACUGACCGUAGGAAAGCCGCACGUGAGAAGGACUUAGAAGCCUUAUAUGAGGGAAGAUUAACAGAGAGAUCCAGGCUUUCCAGGGAAAGGAUGGGAGACCAAUUCUAUAAAGAAGUUUAUAAGUUUAAGUGAUGGAAAAUUAGAUGAAGAACAUUCCAAAAUCCAGGAAAAAAAUUACACGAUUUCUACUUGUGAGAGAAAUUUUUCCAAAGAGAAGGAUCAGAGACUCGUAUGAAGACAUAGUAAGUACAUUUACUUCAGCUUGGCAUAUGCAGUGGGAUGUAAAUAUUUUGCUCUAUUACCAAUAAGAAUAAAUAAGCUAUGUAGAGUC